CCGCUUCGUAGCUUGUUUCUCGAGCGUCCCGCCCCGAUGCACAUAUUUAGCUUGGCUGGUGCGAUCAAUGGGUUGUUGCCUGUGUCGGUACUGUUUUUGGGACAAUGUUUGUAUUAUGACUACGGCAUGUCAUGUUGCCUUCGAUUAUGAUUUUGAGAAAGAUGCGUAGGCUAUUGAAACGUUGGCUUUGUUCGGGAGCGAUCGAUGGGUCUCGACUCGUCCGCAGCUCGCGUCAUAUUACAUGAGCAGCUCUUUCGGAUACGGUAGCUAUGUGGGUUCUCGUGGUCCUCUUCGGUCCGCAUGCAACCUCGUAGUACACGCCCGUAACAUUUCAUUGUGUGGUAGGAUC
rnacentral:misc_RNA from 1 species